rnacentral:lncRNA from 1 species
GUUCCAUCUUCUCCCUCCAAAGGCAUAAAAUGCGCAGUAGUAUUUGAUAUCUCAUGACACAUAAACACAACAUAUGGGUAAUCCAUAGGAUGACAAACAAUGACCUUAUCUUCUGCUAACAACUUCACUCCAUCUUUCACCGAGAAUUUUUGGGACUUACUUUCCUUUUCUGCUUCUGUAGAAAUAACUCGAGCAUUCUUCCCAAGCUUAGAAGUGACAAAAUCUACCAUGGACUCUAAUGAAGUUGCACAAUAUCUUUCUUCUCCAGUUAUUGCAGGCACUUCACACAUACUAAUGGUUUCCUCUAGAAUCUUAACAUUCUCUGGCUCUG